ACAAGGUAGCAUAAUUGGCCCUGAACUUGCUACUCCAAACUCUUCUUCAGCGAUUCUGAAGAGCUCUCUGAAGAUCUCACUCUCCAGGAAGGAGAACCGUUUGAAGACGAGAAAUGUAUUUGGAGGAUUUUGAUGAGAAACUGAAGAGUUAUUGGUUGUGAAAUCUUUCGGAAAUGAUCUAGUUUUUAUAGCAUCAAGAUAAAGACAUCACUUUUGACGUGGGACUGCUUGUUUUCGUUCUUCAGAUGCAAGUUCAUGUGGAUAUUCAGGUGGCUAAGGACAUGAUUAAUGCCUUCUCCAAGUCUUCUGCAACAUUCCUUUGAAUCAUGGAGAUUGCGUACUCCAUGAAAAUUGAAUCACACGGCAACAUAAUUGGCCCUGAACUUACUACUCCAAACUCUUCCUCUGCC